rnacentral:lncRNA from 1 species
CGUAUGGUCACAAAAUUUUUAGGGUUAAUUUCUUCAUACAGCGUCCUGUAAAUAUAUCGAAUAACAAAUAUAUUCUAUAAAAUUUAACUUUUCAUAUUUAUUUCUAUAAAAAUUCAGUGAUAUUCAUAUUUGCCCUAUAGUUUGUUAUGUUAAAAAACUAUUUAUUUUUUAACAGAACAUAUGUAAAAUGAUAUUUUUGUCAUCAUAAAUAUGUCCCUCCAAAAGUUCUAACUAUUAGAAUUAUAUAGAAAUAUUUCCAUAAAAAAUAAUAUAAAAAGAGUAAAAAAUUCACUAAUCAGAUUUAAGUAUUUUAUCUAUAGUUAACUAUAUUAUUCUAACGAAUCCUGACAGCAGGGGGUAUAUUUGAAAAAGUAAGGACUUUUUGCAUGAAUAAAUAUGAAAAUUUGAAAUUUGUAGUGAUAUAUCUGCUAUUCGAUAUAUUUACAAAAAGUUGUAUGCAAUUAAUCCAAAAUUUUAAUAUGUUAACUGGAGGUGAGCUAGAAUAUUAUCAAUAGCAAACGGAUUCAAUUACUACUAAUUUGUUUUCGAUAAUUGAGCCUCCAAAUCAAAUAAUCG